rnacentral:rRNA from 1 species
CAGCCGCCGCGGUAAUACAGAGGGUGCAAGCGUUAAUCGGAAUUACUGGGCGUAAAGCGCGCGUAGGUGGUUCGCCAAGUUGGAUGUGAAAUCCCCGGGCUCAACCUGGGAACUGCAUCCAAAACUGGCGAGCUAGAGUAUGGUAGAGGGUGGUGGAAUUUCCCGUGUAGCGGUGAAAUGCGUAGAUAUAGGAAGGAACAUCAGUGGCGAAGGCGACCACCUGGACUGAUACUGACACUGAGGUGCGAAAGCGUGGGGAGCAAACAGGAUUAGAUACCCGAGUAGUCCCUGUCUCUUAUAC